rnacentral:rRNA from 1 species
GCUCAACCGAGGAAGUGCUUCGAAAACUGGUAAACUUGAGUGCAGAAGAGGAAAGUGGAACUCCAUGUGUAGCGGUGGAAUGCGUAGAUAUAUGGAAGAACACCAGUGGCGAAGGCGGCUUUCUGGUCUGUAACUGACGCUGAGAUUCGAAAGCAUGGGUAGCAAACAGGAUUAGAUACCCUGGUAGUCCAUGCCGUAAACGAUGAGUGCUAAGUGUUGGAGGGUUUCCGCCCUUCAGUGCUGCAGCUAACGCAUUAAGCACUCCGCCUGGGGAGUACGAUCGCAAGAUUGAAACUCAAAGGAAUUGACGGGGGCCCGCACAAGCGGAGGAGCAUGUGGUUUAAUUCGAAGCAACGCGAAGAACCUUACCAGGUCUUGACAUACCAUGAAAAGCUAAGAGAUUAGUCUUUCCCUUCGGGGACAUGGAUACAGGUGGUGCAUGGUUGUCGUCAGCUCGUGUCGUGAGAUGUUGGGUUAAGUCCCGCAACGAGCGCAACCCUUAUUAUCAGUUGCCAGCAUUCGGUUGGGCACUCUGGUGAGACUGCCGGUGACAAACCGGAGGAAGGUGGGGACGACGUCAAAUCAUCAUGCCCCUUAUGACCUGGGCUACACACGUGCUACAAUGGUCGGUACAACG